ACAAUUCAUACUUUCAACAUAAAAACAGAGUGUGUAUCCCACUGCCAAGAUAACUUUCUGGCUCUUUGGUUUGUACAUAACUUUUUAUUAAGGGCAGGGGGAAAGGCCAAGGGGAAAACAAAGGGGAUUGUUUGUACUUGUGUAAAAGUGACUAGAGCCCAGUGGACGUAAAAUACUAAGUGAGAGGGAACAUGGUCCCCAGAAGGGCUGCAGUCAUGGAGGUUAAAGAAAGAUCGUGAAGUUGUAAACAAAAGAACAGAUUGAGUUUGCCAGAGCAAACUAGGCCUUGAACCUGCAAAGGACUCCAGGGGAAUCACAGAUUCAGACCAGCGGGGGCCUGAGAAAGGGUGCCCGAAAGGGCUGGGCUCUGGAGACAAGAUGGGCCGGGUCCAUCCAAGGCUGCUGCCAUGACCUUGAACUCACAGAGCUCCUGUGUUCUCAUCUGUAAAGUGGAGGAAAGGCAUUUCCCUUGGCCUGCCUAAGAGAAGAUAAAUGAGAUGCUGCCUGGGCAACCGUAACACAGUGCUCAGCACAUGGUGGGUGGCCUUGGUUUUCUUGCCCCUUUAAUGUGUAUGUUUAUAUCUUUACAGUAUCUAAGGAAUUUUUUUUUUUUUUUUUACAAAACACAGUACUUAGGAGCAGAGUAAAAAGUAAUAAUCUGACAUGAUGCUGGUCAUUUCACACACAUUCUCCCAUUUUAUAUGCCUGUACAACCCAUGGGAGGUAUGGCUGUUACCAUCACGCCCCCUUCAUGGAGGGCAGUGACCACAGAGAGGUUAGUAACCUGCCCAAGGACACAGAGCAGGUCAGGGGAGAAGCAAGAGCAUGAACUGUUGAGUCCAGAACCCAAACUCCAGGGAUUCUUUACUCUGGAGUGAAAAGUACAUACACAUGGAAAGUCCCUUAACAACCUCGGGACACUAAGAUCUCCAUUAGUGAAUCAUUCUCACCAAGUUGCAUUGUGCACAAGAACGUCUGCUUGACUUGAAAUAGUUCAGGCAGCUCUAAACAUGUCCUGCUUCACCCACAGAAGAAUCUGACUCAUUACUGAGUAUCCUCUUCCAAAUCAAAUGAGUUAUGCUGGCUCCGAUGGAAUCACCACAGAUUCCACACGGAUUACUGAAAAGGCAGAGUGAAAAGUAGGCCUUCGCCUUUUUCCGUGACUCUCCCGAGUGAAUGAUGAAAUACUGCUGUGAGCUGGCUUGUUAGUUUGACUCUAUCCUGCGUAAGAACCACCUUCGGCUGAGACUAUAAAUGUAGUCACUGAUAACAGACACAUAGGCCAUAAUGUCACAUUUUAUAUGAAUCGCAGUGGCAGUUCAUGAAGUUACGGGUGAGAUUUCUCUUAACACUGUUACCUCUGGUGACACCCUAACAAGGAAUCUUGUGUUGCUUUUCGUGCAGCUUCCUUUGGAUGCUUCGAAAACCUGCGGACCAGCCAUCAUUCAACAGUUGCUCCCAGAAAUACAGGAUGUCAAACAACCUGGUGACGGAUCUGCUGUGGGUGAUGCCAUGGAAACCAAGGAGCUCAACAGGGUGUAGCCGGGGCCACGUGUACAGCGAGGAAAAGAGGGCUGUUUCCCACUCCUGAAACCCUCACUCUACCGCAUCUGUCCCUUCCUCAGCUGGAGUAUCCAUCCAUUCCCUUGAAUUAAUAAGCUCAUCUUCUGGCUCAAAUGAAUGGGAUUAUGUUAUCUGAAGUGCUUAAUUUUCUUCCUUCGGGAAGUACACAGGAAUUUGCUUGGGUGCUGCAGGGAAAGGCUUUCAAGCAGAGAUUUCCACCUACUAAGAGGAUCGUUGAGAUUAUUUUAUGGCACAGAUCUCUGACACAAAAAAUGUGCAAACCUAGACUCUGGUACUGAAAAGGACGGAAGAGAGAGAGAUAAGGGGUCUGAUGGGGAAGAAGGAAAAUGCUCGCCAGAUGUUUCCCCACAUUUGUUUCGAAAGCAAAAAGGAACCCCGACACGCUCUUCAUGACAACACUGCAAGCGAACGAGUAUAACAGAGGGGAGACACCCAUCCCGGAGGCCCGGCUGCACGCUGCUCCCAGUGUAGCGUCUUCACGAUAAAGCUGCUCUCAGGAGGAGUCCCCCCCAGGGAUGGAAAAUCUUCGCACAGCAGCAGGCAGCAGAGAGCCUGCAGCCUAAAUGGUGACCAGGAGCGUCUGCACACAUCCUCUCCCCUGAUGGCCGUGAGCCAGCCCGCCACCCUGGAUGCACGCUCGCUGGAACCCCUGCCUGGCUCUCUGUCCCCCAGACUGUGAUCCCCAUCCAUCGAGGCGUCUCGGCUCUCCACACCGCAGGCUCAGGGAGCGACCGCGGAGGCCCACGGGAAACACUGCCACGUGCGCUGUGCCCGACAAGCCAAUGUCAGCUGUCAACCUUCACAGCGGGGAUGCCUAGUGGGGCCUGGGCCCCCCCCAGCAAUGCCUGUCCUGACACGUUUCCAGGGACGGGAGGUCUGGACCAGAGGGUGGGGAGUAACCCUUGUUUGGCUGGUACCGAGCUUCGGGUCCCAGGCUGAGGUUCGUUUCUCUGAACCCAGGUCCCUUCUUUGUCUCCACAAUCGAAGACGAAGACGGGUUCUAUAAGGUCAGGGCUGGUGUGUGUCUCACCCAACAUCAGAACACCUCUCACCGCAGCUCCUCCCUCCUCCGACAGAAAGAUUUUGCUUUUCCGCACUCGGCUGUCCUCCUUCGAACCUCUGACCUUUUCUAGCUCCACAGUACCCACCAGUAGAGCUCCCAGAGCGGAUCCGGUGGGACCGUCACCUCCCUUCUCUAUUUCUCUCGGGUUUUCAUGCUGCCGUUUCACACCCCGACUCUGAGCUGGACAGAACCUUCUCCCCUUAGAGCCUUCUUCAUCUUCUGGGUUUCCUGUUUCUCUUCAGUUCAGCAGACAUUUUUUUCUUUAUUUUUUGAAGUAUAGUUGCUUUACAAUGUUGUGUAUGUCAGUUUCUGCUGUACAGUUAUACACGUAACUGUGACUCAGUUAUACACAUACAUACAUGCUUUUUCAUACUCUUUUCCAUUAUGGUUUAUCCCAGGAUAUUGAAUACAGUUCCCUGUGCUCUACAGGAGGACCUUGUUGUUUAUCCAUCCUAUAUGUACUAGUUUGCAACUGGUAACCCCAAACUCCGGGUCCAUCCCUCCCCCACCCCCUCCCCC